UGCAAGUCGAGCGGGCCCUUCGGGGUCAGCGGCGGACGGGUGAGUAACGCGUGGGAACGUGCCUUCUGGUCUGGAAUAACCCUGGGAAACUAGGGCUAAUACCGGAUACGCCCUUUUGGGGAAAGGUUUACUGCCGGAAGAUCGGCCCGCGUCUGAUUAGCUAGUUGGUGGGGUAACGGCCUACCAAGGCGACGAUCAGUAGCUGGUCUGAGAGGAUGAUCAGCCACACUGGGACUGAGACACGGCCCAGACUCCUACGGGAGGCAGCAGUGGGGAAUAUUGGACAAUGGGCGCAAGCCUGAUCCAGCCAUGCCGCGUGAGUGAUGAAGGCCUUAGGGUUGUAAAGCUCUUUUAUCCGGGACGAUAAUGACGGUACCGGAGGAAUAAGCCCCGGCUAACUUCGUGCCAGCAGCCGCGGUAAUACGAAGGGGGCUAGCGUUGCUCGGAAUCACUGGGCGUAAAGGGCGCGUAGGCGGCGUUUUAAGUCGGGGGUGAAAGCCUGUGGCUCAACCACAGAAUGGCCUUCGAUACUGGGACGCUUGAGUAUGGUAGAGGUUGGUGGAACUGCGAGUGUAGAGGUGAAAUUCGUAGAUAUUCGCAAGAACACCGGUGGCGAAGGCGGCCAACUGGACCAUUACUGACGCUGAGGCGCG
rnacentral:rRNA from 1 species